CCAAUUGUGAUUUCGGGAUCGCUAUAGCUGGUUUGUGGGUUAGUGUACAGGGUCCCCGUGAGGACUGCUGUGGGUUGUUGCUGUGUGUCCCUGGGGGGUUUCCCAUGGAGAUAAGGGCUCUAGUCCCAGGGUGACUUGGCUCGGUGUAUGGUUGGGAGGCUCUGAGUUCCGAAGUGCUAUCAUUAGAAAGCGCUAGUGCUGGGGACGUGGUGAGGGUGAGACCUGGCAGUCUGGUGGCUUGUCAUGUAGUGCCCCACUAUGUGUGGUGUGGUGACGUGCGAGUGGUGGGGGAUCUAAACGUGGUAGGUAACAUCAACAUGAGUGAAUAACGGUAACGUAAAGUUUAGUGAGAUCCAAUAGAAUUAACUGAAAAC